ACACCUCAACUCUCAUGGAUUGCCAUGAUGAGCUUGGACUUUGGGGGUCUUGCUGGCCUGUGUGGUCAGCUCCUCUCAAAUGAAUCAGCUUGCCGGUGUUUGGUGGCGUCACAAGUGUGAUAACUAUCUACGCUUGCGGUCUCCCACCAGGUAACCUUCAGUGAUGGAGGUUCGCCGGGGCUUAUAAACGUCUUUCCUCGGUAAAGACAGCUCUAUGAAC
rnacentral:misc_RNA from 1 species